ACAUGGGGGGGGUUCGGAAAAGUUGUAGUUAUUGGUGUAUGAAGUGGUCAUACAAAUUUGAUGAAUUAGAGUCGUAUUGCAGAAGGCAAUAAAUUUCGAAAACGCAGUUCUAGGAUUGACGGUUGUCCGUAAUCUUAACGAGAUCAAAUUUAAUCAUUCCGUAUCGCGAAGAACCAACGCUUGGAACGUAAAAUCGUGCACAACACUAAAACUAGAUUAACAUGUUGGCGUUAAGUCCUGGUACCAAGCGCCUUGGUCGAGUCAAAGAUGCCAAACGAGUCGGUUUACAAAACAGUGACAAAUUUUUCAUGCCUCCAAAACUUCGAGGAAACUGUAUUUGACUUCUUUCAACUAUCACAUUCAAAUAAGAACAAUUAGCUAUUAUUUACAGGCUCUAAGUUUUUGUCUUCUCUUUCGUAAUUUACUUUUGAUUACAUUGUAAAAACUAAAUUUAAUGUUUUAGUAGCCAAAGACCGAAUAUAAAAGCAUAAAAAUGACAAAA